UCAUUUGCUAACACAAAUUUUAAAUGUGCUUUAGCUUCAAACAUCCAUCUGCAUGCAUAGAUCUCAAAGAGUUUCAUUCUUUAUUAUCCACCGCCAGCAUAGAUCUUAAAGUACUUCAUUUGUGAUCCAUUCACCUACAUAGAUCUGAAAACAUUAAUUUCAUCCUCUAUCAUGCCUUCACCAAAACAAACCUCAAAAUGCUAUAUCUUCUAUCAUCCAUCCACCUGCAU
rnacentral:lncRNA from 1 species